AUGAGGCUCAGCAGUUAAGCACCCCCUUGGUUCUAUCCGCUUACUGAAAGAAAGUAAGUCAAUAGAUGUGGCCAGCAGCAAUGUUGUCAUGAGGUUCCAAUGGUGAUUUUCUACUCCCUGCCUUUCUUCUACAUGGGUUUACUAUAGAAGACUUGUACAGAAGAUUUGUGUUUUUUUCUCUUUUGUUAAUUUAUUUAUUCAGUUUGUUGGAUAUAGAAUUGAACUCCAGAAAGAUUAAAGGUCAAAAGAAGAAAAAUGAGAAUACAAUGCCAAUCUGUGAAUCCAGAAAACAUUAUAAACACACCAAAAUACAAGUUUAAUCAACAACCAAGUGUUACUAGAGACAUUAAUGGGCAUAGUACAAUGUAUUUGAGGCAUACUUUAGUGUUUUGAAACUAAAAGAUAAUAAAUCAAUCUAAAAAAGAUAAUAAGCCAAUAUCUAGAAUUGCUAAACAUUCUUAGACAGGAACUAUAAAAACCACAAUAAUGACAGCAGAGGUAAGAGGUUGCCAUUUAAAAAAUCCACAAAGGAUGCCAGAAAAGGACAAGGAAAUCUAAAGAUAUGCUUAAUUUUCUAGUAACCACCUUGGGCCAGUAACUCUGGCAGGCGGGGAGCCAGGCUGCAGAUGUGCAGCGGCGGCGGCGGGAGGCCAAGUCCCGCUCCCUACUCCCGCUCCCCGCAGCAGGGGUAGGCUGUGGCAUCUCCUUGGGGCCUGCCGCCCAGGCGCUCUGAAGUGAGUGAGCGGCGGGAAGUGUCCAGCGGUCCGCGCCAGCAUCCGUCUGCUCUGCCUGCCAGGGACACUUGAGAGGCGGGGACUCGCGGUGGCGGAGCCCUCCAGGGCCGUGACCUUGGCGAGCCACUUCCCUGGAGCCCAGGUGUCUUCGCAGUGCCAGCCGGGCCAAGGGGACCUUGUGGCACCCAACUGCUCCAAGCCACGCCGGCUGCGGUCUUGGAGCGUGUUGCUGGCGGGAAGUUCCUGGUGGCCUUUGGCUCCUCCAAGCUCUGUGCUCCUGUGCCUAUCUGUGUCCCUCUGCUAUCCGUGACAGACAACAAAAUCAGAAUCUCCAAAUGUGUUGAUAUAAUAAAAGAGCUUUAAUCAACGUGAUAAUCAAUAUGUUCUCAUGUUCUGGGCAGGGAUCCAGAGGUUUGCCUCCAAGAGUCAAAGACAACUGGGUACCAUGAGGAAACACUGGAGAAAAAAUGCUGAGGGAAGAGUAGAAAUGGGAAGUUGGUCAUGUGGAAACUGAGUUCUUAAAGAGAGAAGAUGCCAAUGG